rnacentral:ribozyme from 1 species
UGCCCAGCUACUCCUAUCCCUACCUCCACGUGGCACCGGCCGGACUGCGAGCAACCUUGAAGAAGAUCGGAUAAUCAACCCCGGUAGGAAAUUUGGUCGUAGGCUGACAGGGAAAG